AUCGCUUCUAGGCCUUUUGGCUAAGAUCAAGUGUAGCAUCUGUUCUUAUCAGUUUAAUACUGGCAGUAGUGGGAGCCAAUCAUAACAUUUAGGGUAUCAACCAAU
rnacentral:snRNA from 1 species